rnacentral:rRNA from 1 species
AGGUGAUCCAACCGCAGGUUCCCCUACGGUUACCUUGUUACGACUUCACCCCAGUCAUGAAUCACAAAGUGGUAAGCGCCCUCCCGAAGGUUAAGCUACCUACUUCUUUUGCAACCCACUCCCAUGGUGUGACGGGCGGUGUGUACAAGGCCCGGGAACGUAUUCACCGUGGCAUUCUGAUCCACGAUUACUAGCGAUUCCGACUUCAUGGAGUCGAGUUGCAGACUCCAAUCCGGACUACGACGCACUUUAUGAGGUCCGCUUGCUCUCGCGAGGUCGCUUCUCUUUGUAUGCGCCAUUGUAGCACGUGUGUAGCCCUGGUCGUAAGGGCCAUGAUGACUUGACGUCAUCCCCACCUUCCUCCAGUUUACUCACUGGCAGUCUCCUUUGAGUUCCCGGCCGGACCGCUGGCAACAAAGGAUAAGGGUUGCGCUCGUUGCGGGACUUAACCCAACAUUUCACAACACGAGCUGACGACGGCCAUGCAGCACCUGUCUCACGGUUCCCGAAGGCACAUUCUCAUCUCUGAAAACUUCCGUGGAUGUCAAGACCAGGUAAGGUUCUUCGCGUUGCAUCGAAUUAAACCACAUGCUCCACCGCUUGUGCGGGCCCCCGUCAAUUCAUUUGAGUUUUAACCUUGCGGCCGUACUCCCCAGGCGGUCGACUUAACGCGUUAGCUCCGGAAGCCACACCUCAAGGGCACAACCUCCAAGUCGACAUCGUUUACGGCGUGGACUACUAGGGUAUCUAAUCCUGUUUGCUCCCCACGCUUUCGCACCUGAGCGUCAGUCUUCGUCCAGGGGGCCGCCUUCGCCACCGGUAUUCCUCCAGAUCUCUACGCAUUUCACCGCUACACCUGGAAUUCUACCCCCCUCUACGAGACUCAAGCUUGCCAGUAUCAGAUGCAGUUCCCAGGUUGAGCCCGGGGAUUUCACAUCUGACUUAACAAACCGCCUGCGUGCGCUUUACGCCCAGUAAUUCCGAUUAACGCUUGCACCCUCCGUAUUACCGCGGCUGCUGGCACGGAGUUAGCCGGUGCUUCUUCUGCGGGUAACGUCAAUGAGCAAAGGUAUUAACUUUACUCCCUUCCUCCCCGCUGAAAGUACUUUACAACCCGAAGGCCUUCUUCAUACACGCGGCAUGGCUGCAUCAGGCUUGCGCCCAUUGUGCAAUAUUCCCCACUGCUGCCUCCCGUAGGAGUCUGGACCGUGUCUCAGUUCCAGUGUGGCUGGUCAUCCUCUCAGACCAGCUAGGGAUCGUCGCCUAGGUGAGCCGUUACCCCACCUACUAGCUAAUCCCAUCUGGGCACAUCCGAUGGCAAGAGGCCCGAAGGUCCCCCUCUUUGGUCUUGCGACGUUAUGCGGUAUUAGCUACCGUUUCCAGUAGUUAUCCCCCUCCAUCAGGCAGUUUCCCAGACAUUACUCACCCGUCCGCCACUCGUCAGCGAAACAGCAAGCUGCUUCCUGUUACCGUUCGACUUGCAUGUGUUAGGCCUGCCGCCAGCGUUCAAUCUGAGCCAUGAUCAAACUCU